rfam:Erinaceus europaeus unplaced genomic scaffold scaffold01173, whole genome shotgun sequence
AUACUUACCUGAUGGGAUGUAACAUGAUCAUGAAGCUGGUGUUCCCAGGGCAAGGCUUAUCCAUUGCACUCCGGAUGUGCUGACCCCUGAGAUUUCCCCAAGGGGGGGAAACUCAACUACAUAAUUUGUGGUAGUGGGAGACUGUGCUCACACUCUUCCCUG